rnacentral:rRNA from 1 species
UACGAAGGGGGCUAGCGUUGCUCGGAAUGACUGGGCGUAAAGGCGCGUAGGCGGUUUGUACAGUCAGAUGUGAAAUUCCUGGGCUCAACCUGGGGGCUGCAUUUGAUACGUGCGGACUUGAGUGAGGAAGAGGGUCGUGGAAUUCCCAGUGUAGAGGUGAAAUUCGUAGAUAUUGGGAAGAACACCGGUGGCGAAGGCGGCGACCUGGUCCUUGACUGACGCUGAGGCGCGAAAGCGUGGGGAGCAAACAG